UCACCUAUAUAAGGAAGAACACCUCAUCCUAUUUGAUUCACCUUCUUUUGUCUUGACCAUGUUACAUGUAACUCACUCUUUCUUAUACCAAACAAACACAAACAUUAGAUAUUUCCAAUGAAGUGGGAGUUCCAGAACAGACACAGAGACCCUCCUCGAAAUGCUGUCUAUUAUUCCCUGGCAUAUCUCUGUAUCCUCGACUCUCACCAAAUUCUCACCUUUCAAUAUCACUUCUAAGAAAUCAAACUCUUACCCUUCCAAGAUUUCACCUUCCUCCAAUGAAUUCUCUCUCCUUUCUCUCCACAACUCAGGUACUUCUCUGCACACUUACAGGGCUGCCUUCAGAGUUAAGCAUCAUUGUGAUUUAUUUCUUGUCCUUCUGAAAAUUAUUGGCAAAUUUUUUCCAUUCAGUUCAUCUUAUUCAAACCCUUUUUCAAGUUGACUAUAGUCAACAAUGUGGAGCAUCAUACAUAAGUAUAGUUACAUCAAAUCAUGCAGUUCCAUGUUCACUUCAUAGGUUUUGAUUUCACCUGAUGCAAAGCAUUCUGGAAAUGCUUGUUUCCAUUUAUUAUACUCUGAUGGAAACUUGAGUAGGAGAUAAAAAUCUGGUUUUUGAAUUCAGGAAUUUGCAGGGCUAGUGAAGUUGCUGAUUUGUUCCCAGCAGUGUCCCCGGAAAUAAUUGUCCGCGAGGCAAGGUUGGAGGACUAUUGGGGAGUAGCAGAGACUCACUGCAAGUGCUUCUUCCCUGAAUAUUCCUUCCCAUUAGAUUUUGUGCUCAGGAUAGACAGAUUGGUGGUGGCUAUGUUAGCAGCUAUUUUAGCAGGAUUAUUCAGGCCAAGACACUGCAGAAAAAUCUGUUUGGUGGCUGUUAUUGGCACCUCGCUUGAUGAGUCCUUUUCGUUUGGAAGUGAGGGUCACAAAAUUGGUAGUUUUGAUGGGAAAUUCAGUCUCAACAGGGGCUAUGUGGCUGGAAUAUUGACAGUAGACAAUAAUGCAGACUUUCUACCAAGAAAGGGGCCAAGGAGACAUAGAAGGUAAGUGAAGUGCAACACUAACUUCUGGAACUUGGAGAAGUAAGGGAUUCACCAUUUUGAGGGAAAAAAAAAAGGAAAUAACUCCAUGUGGCAUAGCUUUACUUCAAUACAAGUAUGUCACUGUUUUUUGAAUGAUUGGAUGAUGAUGAUACAAGAGGGAAUUGUAUGUAUUUGUUAGAGUGCAAUGGAAAUUGACUAAAAUCAACCAACUAACUAACUGAAGUCAACUAAUACAGCUAUUCAACAUGUAACAAGGGUUUAUUUAAGGCCUGAAGUUAUUAUAAUGCUUUCAACUUUUGUUUUUAUGUAUGUGUGCCUUCAUGGUUCACCAUCUUCAUUAAGAAAAUGACUUCUAAAUAAAUUGUUCAUUUUGUGUUUGUACCUUGGCUAAUAAAAUUACUACCUCAACAUACAAAAUUCCGAUUUGGAAGUCAAUGUUGAAGCAUUGGUUCGUAGUUUGUCCAUGAUACAAUAAAUGGUGCAUUUCUUCGUCAUAAGCUUCAAUUUGAUGUGGGUUAUUGUCUACCAGUUUGAGUUAAAUUUGCUUGUCCAUUCUUUCUGUUUGGAGCAUAUUCCUCAGAUCUCAGUUUUAGGCUGAAAACUUUCCUUUUUACUUCGUCACUUGCAGCGGUACUUCACUGUAUAACUAUAUAUAUAUAUAUAUAUAUAUAUAUAUAUAUAUAUAUAUAUAUAUAUAUAUAUAUGUGUGUGUGUGUGUGUGUGUAUGUCUCGGAAUCAUUCAUAACCAUGCUCUUUUUUCAUAUAUAAAUAAUGGCCUAAAAAGUUGAGUUUUGUUUGGACAGAGAGCAUUGUUCCUUGUAGAGGCACAAAACGUUUUAGGGAAUUCAGCUCUUAUGGAAUUGUGCAGCAUGUUUUCAUCAAGUGUUGAAAGUGUAGUAUCUGCGAAAUAUUUUUCUGCAUCAAGCAGAAGAAAAUGUUCCCUAAAAGUAAUACUUAAACCAGCACAGAAAAAUGCAGAGAUGUUUUCCAUAAAGUUACAGAUCCUGCAUACAUUUUCCGAGUCUUUUUGUCUUAGAAGUAAUAGCUGGAUGGAUGAUAUCCCUCUAUAGCACAAAAGUUACUUAUUACACAGAAUCUUUCAUCCCACAUUCACAGUUUCUUCUUAUUGAUAUGACUAUAACCAAAUUACUUUAUUGUAGGACUGGAGUUGCAUACAUAUCAAAUGUUGCAGUACGAGAAAAUUUUCGGAGGAAGGGAAUAGCUAAAAAACUGAUAGAAAGGGCUGAGUCUUAUGCCAGAAGUUGGAGCUGUCGUGCAAUUGCACUGCAUUGUGACUUGGAAAAUCCUGUGGCCACAAUGCUAUACAAAGGCCAAGGUUACAAAUGUGUCAUGGUUCCAGAAGGAGCAAAGUGGCCUCAACCAAGAACCUCAUCAGAUAUCAGAUUCAACUUCAUGAUGAAGCUUCUAAAAAAUUCUCCAUCUUCUAGUUAGAUAUAUAUAGUAGGAAAUAGUAUUCAUAAACAUUGUCUACUAAAAAAUAGUUCACUAUUUUCUAUAAUGUUACUCACAUAUUCUUGUUCUUUUUUCCUUCAUUUGUGUCCUCACGUGUGCAUGAAAUGAUUGGACAUUGUAUUUAGAGAAAAUAGGUUAGUUUGUAACUUUUUGUUUUGUACUUCUUACAAUGAAAAAGUUUGUUUUAGCUCAUACGUUAGAUAAAGUUCUGACCAUACUUGUUUACUAGAAUGAGUCUAGGGCCAAAAUUUAUCCACACACUUUUAUGAGAUAUGUUAAUCUCUUAUGUAAACUUAAAUGGGUUGUUUUAUGGUAGUUAAAUUAUUCAGGAGUUUUAUCAGUUUUAGAGUGCAAGGUUUAGAAGUUUAUUAUAUUGAUUAAUAGGUAAUAAUUGUGUUUUUGAUAACAAAGCAUAAGGCUUGGAGAAGAAAAGCUAGAGUAGAGUCUAUAAAUUGUAAUGUUUUGUUUACAUCAAAUAGACACGAAGUGAAUGAAAUUUUCACAUAAAGGUUUAUUUUGCUAAAAAAGUGGUAUCACCAGUUAAUUAACUUCAGUGUUUGAGUGAAAAAAAAAUACCAAUCUUACAAAUAGUGUGCCUUUGUCUAAGUUGACAAAGGUGGUCAACUAUGACAAUUGAAGUUUUAAGAGAGACCCUUCUUAGUUUCUAAGAAAUUUGGGAGGUGGUGGAAAACGGUCACAUAGAACUAGAAAACACUAUGAAUUGGUCUAGUGUCUAGAUGAAUGCAUUAAAAGCAACGCACAUGAAGGACAGGGCAACUUUAUACAUAUUAUACCAAGCAAGCUUUGAAAAGAUUAUAAGUACAAAAUUUUCAAAAUAAGCGUGAGAUAUUCUAGAGAUAAAGGCACAUAAGUAAGUGAAGCAGGUGAGGCUUCAAACACUGAAAGGAGAGUUGGAUAGCAUGAAAAUGAAAGAGACCGAGGAAGUAGCUUAGUAUAUCACUCGGGUUGAAAGAGUGAUGACCUAGCUCGACAGAAACGGGGAGACAUUAUCCGUUAGCUGAAUGUGGAGAAAAUUAUGAAGUUGUUGACCGACAACCUUGAGAAUAUGGUGUGCAUGAUUGAGCAAUCUAAGGAUUUGUCAAUACUCACCGAUGUAAUGCUUGUCGGGUCCCUUGAGGCGCACAAGCAACAAAAGAAGAAGAAGUGGGAGCCACUUGAAAAAUAAUUACUGCAAAUGAAGGGAGAGACUCAAAACACUCAAAGUAGAGGACGAUACCAAGGAUGUAGAUGAAGCAGCCAUGGUGAUAGAAGCGCGAUCAACAAAACUGGCACAAUAAAGGACAAGGUCCAUGAAGAGGAGGUCAAUCGAGCAACUUAAGCGUUGAGUGCUUCAAAUGUGGAAAGUGUGACCAUUAUGCAAAGGAUUGUUAAUUAACCAAGUGUUUCAGUUGUGGUAAGGUCAGACAUUUUACAAAAGAUUGUCGAUUUGGGAAUGAAAGAGAAGAGACCAUGAACCUCAUAGAAGAAGUUGAAGAAGAAGCGGCGUUGUUGAUGAUGGGACGAAGCCCAAGGGUCGAGCACGUGCAACUGGUGAACUCGGAAAGACAGUCGAGUAGCGUAAAUAGGUCGGCUAGACAAGUGAAUAUGCUAGAGAAGGGCAAUGAAAUGUCAGAUAGCCUAAAAAGAGGCAUAGAGCUUGGAUAGUCCAAAGACGGGCAUGUAGAGUUGAUAUAGACCGAGGAGGUGCUUGGACAACUCGUAUAGCUUGAAAGAGCAUGUGGAGAUCUAAGAAGAACAUAUGGAAAACCCAUUAUAUCAUGUAGAUAGCUCAAUGGGGAGCCCAAGUAGUUCAGUAGAGAAAGUGAACUACUCAAAUAACUUGCUGUAGAGUCUAGAAAACUUGGAUAACUGAUAACGGUUGAAAUACCGUUAUUUUUAUACUUAAUUUUGAUACUUAAUACACCCCUUUUGACUUAGAAACUUGCUUAGACUUAUGAUUUUGCUUUAAUUUUGUGAAUAAGAGAGUUGAGGAUAUGCAUUAUGAUUUUAUUACUAAAUUUCCUUGAUUUUGUAGGUUAUUGAAUGAUUUGAAAGAAGUGUUGAAGUAUCAAGGAGUUAGAAUGCAGAAAAGUCAACCAGAAUGCGGAAAGGUCAACUAGUCAACCAGAAAAGUCAACCAGAAAAGUCAAUCAAUCAACCAGAAUGCUGAAAAAUCAACCAGAGUGUAGAAAAGUUAGACUAAGUGAAAAAGUGGCACUGAGUGUCAUUUUUAGUACGAGUUUUUCACUGUUUUUCACCUUGGCGCCGAACAUUAAAAAUAUAUAUAAAGUAAUAGUGUAUUAUUUAUUAUCAUUCCUAAAUAUAACAUGUGUUAAAAUGAAUAAAUUAAGUAUAUAUUAUUUUUUAAAAAUAUUUAUACACAAAAUUUACGAAAAUAUUAUCUUAAUAAAUAAAACAAUGUAAAAAUAUCGUCUUAGUUUAUAUUUUAAAUUUCCUUAACAUGAUAUAUAUUUUUAAAAUUUUUCUCAAAAUAUCUUAUAUACAAAAAAUAAAUAAAUUUUAGUAUUUCCAAUUUAAAGUUUAAAAAAUAAAAUGACAAAUUGUUAUUAUAAGUCAUUAAAAAUAUUCUUCCACAUCUGACAAACAACAGCUCAUCCUAUUUAAUUAACUCUUCUGUCUACACUCUCUUCUCACACAUGCCAUAUUGCAGGUAACUCUGUCUCCUUCUUAUACCAAACACAAUAUAAAGAUAUUUCAAACGAUGUGGGAGUUCCACAACGCAGACUCUCCACAAAAUGCUGUCUGUUAUUCCUUUGGAUUUCUCUGUAUCUUCAACUCUCACCAAAUUCACACAUUUCAAUAUUAGUUUUAAGAAGCCAAACUCUUUCCCUUCCAAGGCUUCACCUUCAUCCAAUGAUUCCUCUCUCCUUUCUCUCUCCAACUCAGGUGCUUUUCUGCAUUGUUACCUCCUCUGCGGGCUGCCUUCAUAGCUAAGCUUAGUGGUUGUGCUUUACUUCUUGUUCUUUUCAAAAAUAUUGGGAAAUUCUCUCCGUUCACUGUAUCUUAUUUAAACCAUUUUGCGAGUUAACUAUAGUCAAUGUUAAUAAUUGAAGUAUGAGCCGAAGUUUUCACGUUUAUUAGUGGUAUCUAUCCUGGUAAAAAAAUUCAACAAUGUGGAGCAUCAUACAUAAUUUUAGUUACAUUAAACCAUGCAGUUCAUUUUCAGUUCAUAGGUUUUGAUAUUACCUGAUGCAGAGCAUUCUGCAGAUGCAUGCUUUCCAUUUACUAAACUCAGAUGAAACUUAACUAGGAGAGAAAAAUCUGGUGUUUGAAUUCAGGAAUUUGCAGGGCUAGUGAAGUUGCUGAUUUGUUCUCGGCAGUGUCACCAGAAGUUGUUGUCCGCGAGGCAAGGUUAGAAGACUACUGGAAAGUAGCAGAGAUUCACUGCAAACGCUUCUUCCCUGAAUAUUCCUUCCCUUUAGAUUUUGUGCUCAGAAUAGACAGAUUGGUAAUAGAUAUGUUAUCAGCUAUGUUAGCAGCUACAUUAGCAGGAUUCUUUAAGCCAAGAUACUGCAAGAAAAUGUGUUUGGUGGCUGUUAUUCGCACCUCAUUUGAUGAGUCUUUUUCAUUUGACAAGAUUGGUUAUUUUGAUGGUAAAUUCAGUGUCAACAAGGGCUAUGUGGUUGGUAUAUUAACACUAGACAAUAUUGCAGACUUUCUACCAAGAAAGGGUCCACAGCGACAUAGAAGGUAAUUGCAACACCUACUUUUGAACUUGGACAAGUAAGGGGUAUCACAGUUUUGAGGGAAAAUGCAAUAACCCCAAGUGGCCAAACAACACAUAGCUUUACUUCCAUACAAGUAUGUGACAGUAUUGAAUGGUUAAAUGAUGAUUAUACAAGAGGGAAUUGCAUGUACUUUUGUAUGUGUUCCUUCAUGGUUCAUCUUUGUGAGCAAAAUGAUUUCUAAAUAAAUUGCUCAUUUUGUCUGUACUUGACUGAUAAAAUUACUACCUUAACACACAAAAAUCCAAUUUGGAAGUCAAUAUUGAAGCUUUGCUUUGUAGCUUCACCAUGAAACAAUAUUUGAAGAAUUCAAGUACAUAUCAGAAAUCCUACAUUGAAUAGAGCAACAAGUUGAAAGUUGUGGUUUAGUCAUGACUCAAAACUCUUCAUAAUAGAUACAUUGAAAAUUGUCCAUUUUGAGUUAAAUUUUGAGUAUUUUCUGAGAGGAGACAUUGACAAAUUUAAUACCAAUGAAUGGUGAAGAAGCUUAUAAUAAGACACCAAAACACUGUUUUUAAUCCAAAACCUUAACAGAAUAGAUUUAAGAGACCAGAACAUCAUUUUUAAUCCAAAAUCUUACCACAAUAGAUUUAUAGACUCUUUUACUUAUAUACUGUGAUGGAGGUUCUUUGAUGAUGCUUCUUCAACAAGAGAUGCUCUCCAAGGUGUGUUGAUGAAGCUUUUCAAAUGAUGGACUCCAUGUGAGAUGAUGAAUGUUGGGGAAGCUUUUCAAGAUAUAAAGAUGUGGUUGAUGGUAUUUGAUGGUCUAGGUAGAAGUCCUUCUAGGAGGUGAGGCCAAUCUUGAAAGAGAAAGUAAGAAGAAGUCUAGAGAAAGACAUUUCUUAGAGUUAGAACUAAGGAGAAGGAGACUUGCAAUUUUGGCAAAGAGCAUUCAAAAUAGUUCUAAAAAUUAUACAAGGUUGCCUCUCC
rnacentral:lncRNA from 1 species